AACGCGAAGAACCUUACCAAAUCUUGACAUCCUUUGACAACUCUAGAGAUAGAGCUUUCCCCUUCGGGGGACAAAGUGACAGGUGGUGCAUGGUUGUCGUCAGCUCGUGUCGUGAGAUGUUGGGUUAAGUCCCGCAACGAGCGCAACCCUUAAGCUUAGUUGCCAUCAUUAAGUUGGGCACUCUAAGUUGACUGCCGGUGACAAACCGGAGGAAGGUGGGGAUGACGUCAAAUCAUCAUGCCCCUUAUGAUUUGGGCUACACACGUGCUACAAUGGACAAUACAAAGGGCAGCGAAACCGCGAGGUCAAGCAAAUCCCAUAAAGUUGUUCUCAGUUCGGAUUGUAGUCUGCAACUCGACUACAUGAAGCUGGAAUCGCUAGUAAUCGUAGAUCAGCAUGCUACGGUGAAUACGUUCCCGGGUCUUGUACACACCG
rnacentral:rRNA from 1 species